GCCGGGCGCGGUGGCGCGUGCCUGUAGUCCCAGCUACUAGGGAGGCUGAGGCUGGAGGAUCGCUUGAGUCCAGGAGUUCUGGGCUGCAGUGCGCUAUGCCGAUCGGGUGUCCGCACUAAGUUCGGCAUCAAUAUGGUGACCUCCCGGGAGCGGGGGACCACCAGGUUGCCUAAGGAGGGGUGAACCGGCCCAGGUCGGAAACGGAGCAGGUCAAAACUCCCGUGCUGAUCAGUAGUGGGAUCGCGCCUGUGAAUAGCCACUGCACUCCAGCCUGGGCAACAUAGCGAGACCCUGUCUCUU
ensembl:misc_RNA Metazoa_SRP Metazoan signal recognition particle RNA